rnacentral:rRNA from 1 species
CCUACGGGCGGCAGCAGUGGGGAAUAUUGCACAAUGGGGGAAACCCUGAUGCAGCGACGCCGCGUGAGUGAAGAAGUCUUUCGGUAUGUAAAGCUCUAUCAGCAGGGAAGAAGAAAGACGGUACCUGACUAAGAAGCCUCGGCUAACUACGUGCCAGCAGCCGCGGUAAUACGUAGGGGGCAAGCGUUAUCCGGAUUUACGGGGUGUAAAGGGAACGUAGGCGGCUGUGCAAGUCUGAAGUGAAAGCCCAGGGCUCAACCCUGGGAUUGCAUUGGAAACUGUGGAGCUAGAGUGCUGGAGAGGGAAGUGGAAUUCCUGGGGUAGCGGUGAAAUGCGUAGAUAUUAGGAGGAACACCAGUGGCGAAGGCGGCUUACUGGACAGUGACUGACGUUGAGGCUCGAAAGCGUGGGGAGCAAACAGGAUUAGAUACCCGUGUAGUC